GAUGAACGCUGGCGGCGUGCCUAAUACAUGCAAGUCGAGCGAAUGGAUUAAGAGCUUGCUCUUAUGAAGUUAGCGGCGGACGGGUGAGUAACACGUGGGUAACCUGCCCAUAAGACUGGGAUAACUCCGGGAAACCGGGGCUAAUACCGGAUAACAUUUUGAACCGCAUGGUUCGAAAUUGAAAGGCGGCUUCGGCUGUCACUUAUGGAUGGACCCGCGUCGCAUUAGCUAGUUGGUGAGGUAACGGCUCACCAAGGCAACGAUGCGUAGCCGACCUGAGAGGGUGAUCGGGCACACUGGGACUGAGACACGGCCCAGACCCCUACGGGAGGCAGCAGUAGGGAAUCUUCCGCAAUGGACGAAAGGCUGACGGAGCAACGCCGCGUGAGUGAUGAAGGCUUUCGGUUCGUAAAACUCUGUUGUUAGGGAAGAACAAGUGCUAGUUGAAUAAGCUGGCACCUUGACGGUACCUAACCAGAAAGCCACGGCUAACUACGUGCCAGCAGCCGCCGUAA
rnacentral:rRNA from 1 species